UGUAGUCUGCAACCCGACUACAUGAAGCUGGAAUCGCUAGUAAUCGCGGAUCAGAAUGCCGCGGUGAAUACGUUCCCGGGUCUUGUACACACCGCCCGUCACACCAUGGGAGUCGGAAAUGCCCGAAGUCUGUGACCCAACCUACGGGAGGGAGCAGCCGAAGGCAGGUCGGAUGACUGGGGUGAAGUCGUAACAAGGUAUC
rnacentral:rRNA from 1 species